CUGCAGAGCAUCCAUUGCUGAGACACUGAUGCAGAGACACAUUUCUACAAACCUGAUGAAGAAACAAACUCGUAUUGGAUGAUCUGAGGAUACGGUCCGUGUGAACAGCACUGGAUUGACGAGGAGCACCAGCAGCAUGGGAGCGUAUGUGGUGAUGUAGUGAGGAAUGGCGUGCUGAAGGCCGUUCUCACAGCUCACAUGACAAACACAUUCAGCACUUUUAAGAGCUUUGGAAUGAAACAGUGUGAUCCUGAGGCGGUUUAAUCAGUGUUUACCUGGAUAUGGAGGGGUAGUAAAGCAUGGCGACUCCCUCCACACACAGCAGCAGCGUCAGACCC